CCUACGGGAGGCAGCAGUGGGGGAUAUUGCACAAUGGGGGGAACCCUGAUGCAGCGACGCCGCGUGGGUGAAGAAGCGCCUCGGCGCGUAAAGCCCUGUCAGCAGGGAAGAAAAUGACGGUACCUGAAGAAGAAGCCCCGGCUAACUACGUACCAGCAGCCGCGGUAAGACGUAGGGGGCAAGCGUUAUCCGGAUUUACUGGGUGUAAAGGGGGCGCAGACGGCGAUGAAAGCCAGGCGUGAAAGGCCGGGGCCCAACCCCGGGACUGCUCUUGGAACUGCGUGGCUGGAGUGCAGGAGGGGCAGGCGGAAUGCCUGGUGUAGCGGUGAAAUGCGUAGAUAUCAGGAGGAACACCGGUGGCGAAGGCGGCAUGCUGGCCUGCAACUGACGUUGAGGCACGAAAGCGUGGGGAGCAAACAGGAUUAGAUACCCUUGUAGUC
rnacentral:rRNA from 1 species